ensembl:lncRNA
CAUAAAUAAAAUUGGAUUGGAACUUUGUGUUGACAAGAUUGUUAGUUAAACAAUUACAAGUCUAUAAAUCAGUAUUGUUUGUAUGGACAGCAACUUUUUUUAAAAUUUGUUUAUUAAGAGAUUAUACAAACUUAUAUACGUUGUAUUGUAUACAUCUUACGUGACAUAUUUUAUCAAACAUUUCUUUCCCAAUCAUUUUAACGUUUUCUUGUUAAACAAAAGACAAAUUAAAAUACAAAAAACAUCAUACCAACACAAGAAGAGAAAAUUCAGAAAAGAAAAAAAGAAGAAAAAAGUGAGUAAAUUAGAAAAAAUAUUAAUUAAAUAAAUUAAAUUAAAUUAAAUGUAAAAAAUUAAAAUUAAACACUAUAUAAAUACAAUUUAAAAAAUUAAAUUAAAUUAAAAAAGAAUAGAAGGGGGGGGGGUAAAUCCUAUGCCUACCUUAAAAAAAAAAAAAAAAAGAACAUUUCAAAUUCUUUUCAAUCUAUUCGGAGGGUGGGUAAAUUGCAUUGUUCUAAGGAAAAGAUUUGAGAUAUUCCACAAGAAUGUCCGGACAGUAUUAAGCCAUUGCAAUGCAGAUGGAAGUAAAAUACAGCAUCUAGCAAGAAGGGAACAAAAAGCUAAGAUCUCAGUUUGCUGGGGAGUUACAUUAAGAGGGAUCUUUGGAACUCCAAAUAUGGCAACUAAAGGGUCUUCUCGGAUCUGACUUCCAAGAACCCCUGACAGUACAGAAAAGAAAUCAGUCCAAAAUUGGUUCAAACUUGGGCAGAAGAAAAACAUAUAAUAAUAAUAGAUUGGAUUUAUAUAGCGCUUUUCAAGGCACCCAAAGCGCUUUACAAUGCCACUAUUCAUUCACUCACUGGUGGAGGCAAGCUACGGUUGUAGCCACAGCUGCCUUGGGGCAGACUGACAGAAGCGAGGCUGCCAUAUCGCGCCAUCGGCCCCUCUGGCCAACACCAGUAGGCGGUAGGGUAAAGUGUCUUGCCCAAGGACACAACGACCAGGACAGAGAGCCCGGGGAUCGAACCGGUGACCUUCCGGUUACAGAUAUGCUUCCCAAACCCCCUGAGCCACGGUCGCAAGGGGAGGUGUGACAUCUGUCACAUUGGUCUAUAAUUGAAGGAAACUUUAAACUGUAUAAGCUGUAGCCUAGCACAUGGUGUACUUGAACGCAUGAUGAGAUUCACCUUAUCCCACCAUGAUUCAAACAGUUCAACACCUAAUUCAUGCUCCCAGGCGGUUGUGAUUUUACCUGAUGGAUUAGAUUCGGUCACCAUAAGCAUACAAUAUAUAUUUGAUAGAGGUGAUUUUUGAUUAGGCGUAACAGCCAGAAGGUCAACCCAUGAUGGAUCAGCAGGGAGAAUUGGGGAAUUUGGAAACAGUGAUGAGACACAGUCUAAUUUGCAAAUAGAGAAGGGGCCUGUAGGACUUGGCAUUGAUUGAGGCUCUUUGCCUUUCUUCAGUAAAACUGAAAUAGAUGCCUUCGUUAAAGUGGGGGGCAGCCAGCCUUUUCUCAGUGAUUCAUUAUAUAGAUCAAGAAGGAGAGGGGCUAGCUUGUCUUUAAAUUUUUUUAACAACUCAGCUGGAAAUCUGUCUGAGCCUGGGGCCUUACCGCUCGCAUACACUUGAUUGAGCCAAAAACGUCCUCUAUUUUAAUAGGAGCGUCGAGCUGCAACUUUUUUUUUUUUUUUUAAAUGAACAUAUAAGGAGAAGCGUCCACCAAGUAUUUCCUGCCAUGGCAUCCACGUCACCAUGGUAAUGGCACAGCCAGAUAACAACAUGAGAUUUCAAAACAUAUGUACAUUUAACGAGUUACUUUUAAUGAACCUCAACAUAAUUACUUUUAUAAUUCUUUGUUAUUUAUCAGACUCCUGAAUAGUAUGAGUUUUGUUUUGCUCAGACUCAGUGUUAACUGAUUAUGGAAAUAACCGAGAACUCAGUUAAAUUGAUUUUCUAGUUCAUUCAGAAGAUUUUCCAUGUUACUUCCACAAUAACUUUGUGUCAUCUGCACAUAAUAUGACUUCUGUGUCUUUGAAAUUACUUCAAAUCAAGACAUGUUAACACAGAAACCUUUAUUUAUCUCUCAUGGCCCUGGUGCCAUCUGUCUGCAUUGACCUGAUAAUUAAUCAGAGGUAGCAGGGUGUGAUACAGGAACUCUAAAAGACACAUUAGCGUAUGUUUAGUGGUCACUGGCUG